CGCUGGACGAACUUGGCUCACCACUCGCGUGCCUGUUGGUGGGGGAGGGGGCCAGAGGACAGGGCGCGGCCCAGGCCAGUUCCACAGGUGGCUCUGACUGCCCAUGGUUUCGCGCGAGUGGUGGGCACGCUUCGGUUUACCUCCCCCGCGGGUGACAGCCCAGUGCUUCCACCACAACCGAUGUCAACUCUCCUAGCGCCCCUCCGCUCACCGGGCAAGACUCAGCCAAAGGUGGAAAAGUUGAAGGGGUGUUCCCAGCAGAGAGGAUGACACAAAGGCACCAAACCACAAAACGUCACACGUAAACAUCAUACGUGGCAACCACAAGCCAAUCAGUUGGAUAUUUCAUUCAUUGGUAUACAUAUGGACUGUAAGCUGUAUUCUUCAGGACUUGUGGAAUGUGAGGAUCAGGAUCCACUUAAUCCUGAUAGAAGUUUUGAUGUGGAAUCAGUAAAGAAAGAAAUCCAGAGAGGAAGGAAGUUGAAAUGCAAAUUUUGUCAUAAAAGAGGAGCCACCGUGGGAUGUGAUUUAAAAAACUGUAACAAGAAUUACCACUUUUUCUGUGCCAAGAAGGACGACGCAGUUCCACAGUCUGAUGGAGUUCGAGGAAUUUAUAA
rnacentral:lncRNA from 1 species